GGAAAGAUGGUGGAAUGAGAUGGACAUUAUUACCCUGGUACAUGUAUGACUGCACAUAUGGUGUGAUGCUACAUCAUAUACAAUCAGUAUAUUGUAUAUCAGAAAAGUUGUGCUACAGAAUUUACAAUGAAUCAAAAUGCAUUCUUCUGUUACAUAUACCUAAUUAAGAUAAAUAAACUAAUUUUUUUUAAAAAGAAGAAAAAUGAGCAAUGGCGGAAAAAAAAAUUUCUGGGGAACAUAUUUAAAUAGAACUUUGGGAAGUGUCUGCUAUGGACUUUAUUUGAAAGUACUUUAACGAGGUCAUGUUUUAUUGAACCAUAGUGACUGAGUUAAGAAACCCCAUUGCUUUAUUUUAAUAUUUAAUUUAAAUUUUGAAUUUCAGAAAAAUAUCUUUUAUGGGACAGUUUUAGACCCUACUCUGUAGGAUUGCCCAAUGAGUCUGUCUUCAGAGGGAAAGGAACGUCUUGGCUAUUAUGCAUUUGAGAGCAAUGGGUCACACACGCCUCAACACUCUUUUUUUUUUUUUCUUGGAGUACUAGGGAUUGAACCCAGGGAUGCUCUGUCUCUGAGCUAUAGCCUCAGCCCCUUUUAAAUUUUAUUUUCAGACAGGUUCAUGCUGAGUUGCCCAAGCUGGGCUUGAGUUUGUGAUCCUCCUGCCUCAGCUUUCCAAGUGGCUAAAAUUACAGGCAUGUGCCACUACCCCCCAACCAUCUCUUGUUUUUAUUGAUUUAACUUUUAAUGAAUAACCUUGAGGUGUGGGUAUUAUUGUAUAUUUCUCCUCCAAUAUUUUACGUAGAACCAUGAACAUAAUGCUUACAUAUAUAGUCCUGAAACAGUGGAAACAUAAUAUAGUACUUUAAAGUUCAAAUGAAAAUUUCAAACUCCAUUCGGAAUUUUGUGCUAUUGGCUAAGGUAAAUUCUAUGUUCAGCUUCUGGGAAUGUAGCAGUUAUCACAGUUCCUACAGGCUUUAGACAUCCUGCUCAAUAAAUGUUUAUUGGUGGCAUCACGUGGUAUGCUGUGCAUCUGGACUGGCCUGUGGGGAAAGUAAAUUCGUCCUGUUGUGCUUUCCAACUCUUUCGCAGGCGAGAGGGAGGUAAGAACAGCUCCUGCUGGGAAAAGUCUGUUUCUUGGUUUAUGUGAAUGAAAAGUGCAUCUUGUGCAUGGAUUCUGAAUUCAGAAGCACAUUGAAGUUUCUGGACUUUGUCAAUCCCUCCUCUGCCCUCUUCACUUGUUCAACUUUUGUGGGGUUUGUUUGGUUGGUUGGUUUUUGUGCCUUUCUCCCACUGUCUUAUUCUUCAUAUGGUUAAAAAAAAUUGGGACUGGGAGAGGGGAAGAGAUAUGGAAUAAUUCUUCCUUAUCCAUGGUUUCACUUUCUGUGGUCUCAGUUACCCAUGGUCAACCACAGUCUGAAAAUAUUAAAUGGAAAAUUCCAGAAAUAAGUUUUAAAUUGUGUGCCUUCUGAGUAGCACAGUGAAAUCUAUCACCACCCUGUUCCAUCCUUCCAAGUACAUAACUCAUCUUUUUGACCAGCAUAUCCACAGUGCCUGUGCCACCUGCCUGUAAAUCACCAGUAGUUAGUUUUUGUAGUUAUCAGAUCAGUUGUAUCAAAGUGCUUGUGUUCAAGUCACCUUUAUGUAGCAGCCUUAGUCUAUGUCACAAGGCAUACCCCAUUCAUCUUGUUUCCUCUGUCAUAUAGGCAUUGUAUCAUCUCACAUCACAAGAAAUAUAAUAUAUGCUUAUAGUACAAUAAGAUAUUUUGAGAAAGUGAGAUCACAUUCACAAAACUGUUAUCACAGUAAGUGGUUAUAAUAAUAGUUGUUUUUUAUUUAGAAUUAUUGUCAAUCUAUUUCUGUGCCUACUUUAUAAACUAAACUUCAUCAGAUAUGUAUGUGUAGAAAAAAAAAACAAAAAAUGUACCAUAUGUAUGGUACUUUUUCAGUUUCAGGCAUCUACUGGGGACCUCAGAGCUUGUUCCUCAUGGGUAAGGUGGGAACUACUAUGUUCAUAAAUUACCUGACCAUUAAUCCUUUGUGCAUAAGCUACAGUAUUAUUAAAUUAGGCUUGAAUUGUGUAUACUGAAGCUUGCAGUUUGCUUUUUAAACAAAAGCUUAUAGUUAUCUAAGGCUCUUUCCCCUCUCUGCCCAACCCCAAGUUAGUUUCUUCUUAUCUAAAAAUCAUGUACAUGAUUUUAGAACAAGGAAUUCUGGACUAAAUUUUGCUAAUUAUAUAUACUGAAGCCAACCCUGAGAGCUUUUGUUUUUAUCAGUUGUAUCUACUAUUUACUGUAUUAAAAUUUUAAAUUUUAAAAAUGUAAGUGAAUAUUAAAAAUUCACUUAAUAAAUAUGUAAACAUAUUCUUAAUGAAAAAUCAUAUUUUCCAAAACAAAAGCAAAGUUAGUAAGAAAAAUGGCACCUCUAACUUGCAAGUCUCUAACAUCUGGCUUAAUAGCAGACAGCUGGAUCCUUAUCUGCUUCCACAUCAAUUGAUUGUAUUAUCACCAUCACAAGAAAACUCCAUUUAUGAAAGAAUGAGAGUUAUAAAGGAAAAUAACAUUAUGCUGGUGAAAGUAAUUUUCACUGAAUGUAUCUCUUAGAGACCUCCAAGGAUUACCCAACCAUACUCUUGAGAACGCUGGUGUGGCUUAUGAUAUUGAGAGUUAGAAUAGUUUUUAUCCCAUUCAUUCAUUCAUUCAUUCAACAGGAUCUCCCUAUGUAACCCAGGUUGGUCCCAAACUCCUGGGCUCAAGUGAUCCUCCUGCCCUAGCCUCCUGACUACAGGUGCUUGCUACCAGAGCUUGCUAUCUUAUUUUUUAAAACUAUAUUUUACAGGUUGCAUAAUGUAAAUCAAUUCAAAAAGUUAUGUCAGAAUGCAGCUCUUCCACUUGUACCUUGAACAUUUGCCUUGAUUCAGGUACAUACUUUUCCACCUCCCUGUGGUCUUUUUCGCAUAGCAGUGAGCACUUGAUCUUCUCCACAGGGCUUAUAUGUCAUGUGUGUUUGGGUUGUUGGCUAUUAGAUAAUCAGAAGGGGUGUCUUUAAUGACAAAAAUGAUAGGAGCCAGAGUUCAUUAGUCAGAGCCAAAGGACACAUCUUUGAACACUUCGUUUGUGGCACUUCUGGGAUUAUUUAGUAGUAAUAUUGCACUGGUUUUCUUCAUAUGAUCAUCAUACAUUGACUGUAUACUUCACAUGUACUGAGACAAAAGAUAGAGCUUUUGACCUUAGGGGUUUAACUAUUUGGGGGAAGGUAAAUUCAUGAAGAGAGGAAAGCAUGGGCACAGCAUGACAGUGGAAUGUCGUGGUGCUGGGUAGUUCCAUGAUGAGAAUGUGAAGAGGCAGCUGGAAGCAGUCUUGGCUCUUCCCCUAGCCAGCCUGUGGCUUCAGCAAGCUGGUUCACAUUUUCAGUCCUCAGUUAUAUUUAUUAUAAAGUUAGGAGAUUAUCUUGGUCUUCUCUGGCUAUACAGUGCCAUGGUAAUAUGAAGUUGUGCACAGAUUGGUUAAUUUCUACUGACUUUUAAGUAGGAUACUUAUGUACAGUUCAUUAAAAAUGAAUGUUUUUUCCUCUGCCUUGCUUUAUCUUAAAAAAAAUCUGUUGGCUGAAUAUUCAUUGUAAUAAGAGGUAGAAGUGAAUUGAAAAUCUAAUUAUAUUUUAUUUAAUGAUUCAAAUUUCUAAGUGUAACAACAGUGAAAACCAACUGGUGUAUUGGUAACUAAUCCUUUUGCCUAGAGGGUGGCCUGCCUUUCGCUGCCUACUCUAUUAUUAAAAAGUAAACUUUUAAAUAAAAGCCUACUCUGAAUUAAAAAGGGCUAAAAUGGUAAACUCCGCCCCCCCCACCUAAUUUUUUUAAGAAUAGUGAUGCUGUCACUAUAGGAAAGGUGACUUGCAGUAUUUUUCUAGAAGGUCAGAUGCUUCAAAAUGUUGUAUUUGAAUCAGAUAAAAUUAUCAUGAUGGUGAUGAGCUGUUGGUUCCAUUCUGGGGUGUCCUUUUUUUUGAGACAUGAUUCUGUUAUAGUCAAAUUAUAUUUAGAUGUGUAAAUAGGGCCCACUGAAAAUUGAAAAAAAUGUAUAAAAUUGGUUGAAACCUCUUACUUAUUCUUUCAAGGAAAAAAAAAAGAAUGAAAAUCACACAUAGUUUUGAAUUUAGUCCUUCUUGUAAGCCCCAAGUUGUCUGUAGGCAUGUGACCCCAAGACAUCUCCAUAGUUCUCAGAAUUGUGCUGUCACUUGGCAUAAGCUAAUGUCCUCCUGCUUUGGCAGUUAAAUUGCUUUGAAAGCAGCUAUACUUGAUGUAAUUUUAAUCAAUACCUUGUACUUCCAUGUGGCCCUGCAGCCACUGUGUCACUGUACUGCUCUGAGCAUCUCUGACCUAAAAGUAAAGGACACAGUGUCUUGAGAUUUAAGUUUGAAACUUCACAUCAGUCAAUUUGUAGUUUAAAGCACUGGGAAGCUUUCUACUUAAUGUCACUGCAGGUCAUACUUUCCAAUGUUCAGAACAGUUCUGUUAAUCUGCAUUGGUUAUUUGUGAGGUGAUCUUUCAUAGGUUUUGUUUUUCUAAAGUGAAAGACACCUAGCUAGCCAUCUGUGCAUUUCCAAUGUUAAGUGACCAGCAGUUAGCAUCAAUAGCUCCCUGAAGGUCAUCAGGGACAAGUAGCUAAGGAUGAGUGGUCCAGACUCUGCUUACAUCAGCUUCCUUCCUAAUGUGCUUUUUGAUACCCUUAUAGGAUUGAUUUAUUUUGUUUUUCCAUACUUUUGUUCAUAGCAGAACUGCUUCAGCAUCCAUUUCUAUGGUCAGAUUAUUCUGAUUUAAAUAGGAUCUAUUUAAAACAGCCAUUUCCACAAUUUGUUUUUCUCACAAAAAACAAACAAAAAAAUACUCUUGGUGUUUGAACUUUUCUGAGAUAUAUUUAAUUUAAUUUUAUUUCAAAGUAGUGACUUACCUCAUCUGUGAGGCUAAGUUUGCAAUUCUAUUAGAAAACUAAAUGAUUUAGUUAUUCUUUUCAGUAAAUACAGUUACUUAUAGACUGAAAGCCAUCUUCAUCUCAUUCUGUGAUAUUCAAACUUGACAGAAAUCAGAACUCCAACAAAAGAUGUUUUGAUUGUGUUGAAUUAGUGAAUAGUUUGAUAAAAAUUAUACUUAUAAAGAAAAUAAUGUAUGAUUAACAAUGCCCAAUUUAAGCAAAUCAUACUGGGGUACUAGGUACACGUCCAGGUUAGCAAAAAGCAUUAGGUUAAUUUAGUUUUUAGUCUGUUAACGUUUAUUAAACCCCUACUUAGUAUAAGGUCCUGAAGGUUACAAAAUAAUGCAUUCCCUAUCUUCAAGAGGUUCACAGGUCAGUAGGGGAGAGAUUUUAUGUCUAACUGUAAUCCAGUGAGCUACUGUGAUGCGGGAAUUAAUCAAAUGCCAUGGGAACCCAGCAAAUGGGGUCAGGGAGGGGGCUAAAUUCUGCUGAGUUUGAGGAAAAAGGAAAGGGGCUUAGCAAAGCUGACCUUGAUCUAACCCUGAGGAGUGGGUGGUGGGUGGAGGAGGCCUGUGAGGGAGAAAACAGCAUGAAUAAAAGCAUGGCUGUGGGAAAGCAACUAUUUUGGGAGAUUAGAAUAAUCUUUUGUGACUAUUUGUAGGUAUUCAUUUGUAGGAAAUUCUCAAAACAAAAUCCCCACAUCGGUGCUGAACCACCUGGCACUAGACAUCCACGUUUCUUUCUUCUCAUGGAAAAUAUAAGUGCCAAUAAGAAUCGAUAGUUGUUUAGGUGGGCCAAGUAUGGCCUCCAGAACCUCCGCAUGAGUUUGUGCUCCCUCACAAUGGAAGAAGGACUUGCAUCUAAGAGAUUCCUCAGUAUUUAGGAAUCUUUCUGGAUUGGGUUAAGGAAUCAUUAUCUUCAAUAAUAAUAAUAUUGAAGAUUGAAGGGGAAGUGGAAGGGACUUUGCUUCUCACAUAAAACCUGCUGGGAUUUGUCACAGAUGGAAGCCCAAGGUGACUGUACUGUACACUACAGUUUUUGCUACAGGAAAGGUCCUAAUGAGGAGGUACUUAUUCCCCCCAUGGCUAGUAGGUUGGCCUGGAUAUGUCCUGCAAACUUUGCUCUUUUUUGUUAACCCUUUCUCCUUUAUUUCCUUCCUUAUAGAAAUGCAGGUUGAAUACCUACUUUGUGCCAAAAACUCAUCUGGGGACAAGGGAUACAAAAAUAAAUAAGAUAGGCCUCUUCCCUGAAACUGUCCAGUAGGAGUCCCACCCAACCAAACAGGCCACCACAAGUAUAGCACAGAGCAUCAUGGAGCACCAAGCCUAGGGCUGGUGAUGAGCAGGAAUUAGCCAACACAUUCCCUGAAAAUGGAAACCAAUGUGCAGGACCUGAGACUGGAGCUGGCCCUUAGAAAAGUCAGCCAGCAGAGGGCUAAAGAGGAGAGCCCAUGUGGUACAUGGAAGGGUUGGGGGUUGCUUCAGAAACUGUGGUCUCCACAUCUUGCUUCUGUUUUAGUGCUACUUAGUUUUUAAGUCUAUUGAUGUGGUGAAUAACAUUUAUUGAUUUCCGUAUAUUGAACCAGCCUUGCAUCCCAGGGAUGAAUCCUACUUGAUCAGGGUGCACAAUUUUUUUGAUAUGUUUUUGUAUCCGAUUCGCCAGAAUUUUAUUGAGGAUUUUUGCAUCUAGGUUCAUUAGAGAUAUUGGUCUGUAGUUUUCUUUCUUUGAGGUGUCUUUGUCUGGUUUAGGUAUCAGGGUGAUGUUGGCCUCAUAGAAUGAAUUUGGAAGUUCUCCCUCUUUUUCUAUUUCCUGAAGUAGCUUGAAAAGUAUUGGUAUUAGUUCCUCUUUAAAGGUUUUGUAAAACUCUGCUGUAUACCCAUCCGGUCCUGGGCUUUUCUUAGUUGGUAGUCUUUUGAUGGUUUCUUCUAUUUCCUCAAUUGAUAUUGGUCUGUUUAGGUUGUCUAUAUCCUCCUGACUCAAUCUGGGCAGAUCAUAUGACUUCAGAAAUUUAUCUAUGCCUUCACUAUCUUCUAAUUUAUUGGAGUAUAAGGAUUCAAAAUAAUUUUUGAUUAUCUUCUGUAUUUCUGAAGUGUCUGUUGUGAUAAUGCCUUUUUCAUCCCGUAUGCUAGUAAUUUGAGUUCUCUCUCUUCUUCUCUUCGCUAGCAUGGCUAAGGGUCUGUCGAUUUUGUUUAUUUUUUCAAAGAACCAACUUUUAGUUUUGUCAAUUUUUUCAAUUGUUUCGAUUUCAUUAAUUUCAGCUCUGAUUUUAAUUAUUUCUUGCCUUCUACUUCUUUUGCUGUUGUUUUGCUCUUCUUUUUCUAGGAUUUUUAGAUGAAGUAUGAGAUCAUUUAUUUGUUGGUUUUUUUCUUUUUUUAAGGAAUGAACUCCAAGCAAUGAAUUUUCCUCUUAGAACUGCUUUCAAUGUGUCCCAUAGAUUCCGAUAUGUUGUGUCUGUGUUUUCAUUUAUCUCUAAGAAUUUUUUAAUUUCCUCCUUGAUGUCUUCUAUAACCCAUUGAUCAUUCAGUAACCUAUUGUUCAUUCUCCAAGUGAUGUAUGCUUUUUCCUUCCUUCUUUUAUCAUUGAUUUUCAGUUUCAUUCCAUUAUGAUCAGAUAAGAUGCAUGGUAUUAUCUCUACUCCUUUAUAUUGUCUAAGAGUUGCCCUGUGACAUAAUAUAUGAUCUAUUUUUGAGAAGGAUCCAUGUGCUGCUGAGAAAAAAGUGUAACUGCUUGAUAUUGGGUGGUAUACUCUAUAUAUGUCAAUUAAGUCUAGGUUAUUAAUUGUGUUAUUGAGUUCUAUGGUUUCCUUAUUCAACUUUUGUUUGGAAGAUCUGUCCAGUGGCGAGAGAGGUGUGUUGAAGUCUCCCAUGAUUAUUGUAUGGUGGUCUAUUAGACUCUUGAACUUGAGAAGAGUUUGUUUGAUGAACAUAGCUGCACCAUUGUUUGGGGUGCUACUUAGGGAAAUGCUCACCAGAAGUCCCAGUGACUUUUCAGGUUCAAAGAGUCAUUGUGACAAUUUGCUCAUGCUCUGCAUCCUCGCUGCAGCAGUGAUUCUUGCUGUUCAUGCUCUGGCCCGUGAAUUUUUUUAUUCCUUAACUUCUGCAAACUCUUCCUUUCUGAUUUUCUCAUCACCCUUCCUUUUCUUCUCAAUUCUUACUUAACUACUACUGUUCCCUAAACUUUCUAGACCCCCCUCCCGCCCUUCUUCACCAUUAACAAUUUUAUCCACACCACUUUCUUUGGAAUUUGAGUUUAUCUACAGCCUCGCCUGUCUUCUGAAGUCUCCACAUGGUCCCCUCUGCUGUGAUCAUUCCUUCAUCGUGUAUGUUUACAUGAGUCUCUGAGUUUAUAUCUGUUUGAAAUGUGAGCGUCAGUUACAGGAGCUGUAGAGGAUGUGGUGGUUGCUCCAAGCCCGUGCAUCAUUUGCAAGCUAAUGGCUUUUGACAGGGCCAGGUGGAGGCCAUGGGAUAAUGCUGAGCCCUCCCUGUGUCAAUACCUAGGAACAGCUGGGGAACAAAUCUGCUUUUAGUUUCUGGAGCCACAUUGGUUUGCUAAUAAAAUGCUGUUAUGUAGGUUUUGGGAACAUAAAUAUGUUCUUUUCUUGUUCAAUUAUGUUUCAGUUGUGGGUUGUUGUUUUGUUGUUGUUAUUUGUUUGUUUGUUUUUUGGAAAAUUGCCAUAUACCAAGUUAAUACUUGGCAUUUGUCUUAUUAGCUUUGCUAAAGCAAAAAAAAAAAAAAAAACUGAUGGAGCUUGUGUGUUGAUUCAGAGUUCCUUUUGGGGUGCCAUAGGUAAAAUGUUAGCUACUCUUAUACUGUGUUUCUAUUCCUGCCAAACCUUCUGUUCUGGUCACUAAUGCUGCUCACCAAUGGCUUCCACUUCUCUUUCUGCCCACAUUGCUGUUCACUUCUCCUGUCUCAGCAAUUGGUAGCCAUCUAAAUUGUGGACACUCUGCCCUCCCUGAGUGAGGAGACAGAACCAACCUGGAAUGGAUAUGUAGAGUAUAUGAGAAAUACACCUCUGUUACUGACUCUGAGGUAACCUAUCCUUCUGGAUGCUUCUCCACAAAUGUUGUCUAUACUUGGAAAAGUAAAUGGUUGCCUAGGGAAUGAGAUGGUUCUAGAUUUUGUUACCACCCCAGACUGUAAAUUAGAACUGUGGAGAAAUACUUCUCCAGGAAAUGAAUGAGUUGUGUAGCUUCACAAGUGAGUUUUCACUUAUCUGAAUUUCUAAUUACAAUAUUUUCAUAUAAUCACCAUUUUGUUGCUUUUGCAGACUCAUGAGAGUCUGAAAUAGAUGUCAUCUUUCCCUUUUUUAAUUGAAAAAGGAAAACAAGUAUGUUCCUCACAGAUUUAAUAAAGACAGUCAACAAGUGCUUUCAAGUGCUGUGGGAGACUUUGGGAAUUAACAGUGACCAAGACAGAACCUGGGGUUUGAAAGAUUAAUCUAGCAAAGAAGAUCAACCAGCUGUUAUAGUCUCACAUGGCAAGUGUCAUCAGAGGAGGAAACAGCCUGUUAGGCACAGGAUAGGAGGGCCACCCAAAUCUGAGCUUAGGAGAAGUUCUCCUGGAGAGGUGACUAUUCAUGUGUUCACCAAGAUUUGUGAGACACCUCCUUGGUGCUAGGUAUGUGGUAGAUGUUGGGGAUAGAGAAGAGAAGCAUGAUCUCCCCUGCCCCGGCCCCUGCCAACUUUAUGGUCAGACCUGAGACCUGAUGGAGGAAUGGGGAUGAGCAGGAAUUAGCUAACACAUUCCCUGAAAAUGGAAACCAAUGUGCCAAAGUCUAAGAGUAAAUAAAUACUAGGGUUGGAAGUUGAAGCUCAAGAAGAGCCAGGAGAGAAUGGCUUGGCUCACAGGAAGAACUCCACACAUCACUAUUCAGUAACACUGGAUGACAUGCUGACGGAAUUAAGGCUGGGAAGUCAGCUAUGCAAGAGGACAAAUUUCUUGGAUAAAUAUCAAUUAAUGAAACAACAACUAUAAAACACAACUACAUAUUUUGGCGGGAGGGUACCAGGGAUUGAACUGAAAUAACAUCUAAUGAAACAACUAUAAAACAAAAACCACAGAUUUUUUGGGGGAGGAUACCAGGGAUUGAACUGGGCACUUGACCACUGAACCAUAUCUCCAUCUCUAAAGUGUAUUUUAUUUAGAGACAGGGUCUUACUAAGUUGCUUAGGGUCUCGCUAAUUUGCUGAGGCUGGCUUUGAACUCGUAAUCCUCCUGCUUCAGCCUCCUGAGUCACUGGGAUUUAUAGGCAUGCACUGCCACACCCAGCAAAAAACUACAGAUUUUUGAAUGUUAUGUUUGAUUUUAAAAAUUAUUAGAUUUUUAAACUUGUCUUUUGGAAGAAUAAGAACUUUUACAUAGCUGGUUUUAAAAGUUGUCAAAACCAGUGUAAUUUUACAACUUGUAAUAUUGUUGGGGAAAAUACCUUUCAGAUUACCAGAAGGUCAAAAUGCUCAGUUUUACUAGCUCUGCUUAUUCUUUUGAAUGCUCUCUAGGGACAGUAUAACAAUUAGCCAUGUCACUAUCCCUACCCCUACCUUGAAGAAUUCUGGUGAUUUUUAUUUCAGUUCUUCAGGGUUUGGGCUUUGUUUAUUUGUUUGUUUUGUUUUACUAAUCUGCUUAUCUGCUUUAUAGUGUUUGUGAAGAAGGUUGGGAUAAGACAUUGACCUCUGGAGAUUUUCUAUUCCAUAUCUUCAGCUGGGAAGCCUAGCAAAAGAUGCUGAAAUACUUAUGUAAUUCUCUUAGUUUUUUGUCUUGAAUCUUUAUUACUAUUUUUUUUUCUUUUUGGGGUACCAGAGAUUGAAUUCAGGGCACUCAACCACUGAGUCUCAUCCCCAGCCCUAUUUUGUAUUUUAUUUAGAGACAGGGUCUCACUAAGUUGCUAAUAAGCACCUCACCAUUGCUGGGGCUGACUUUGAACUCAUGAUCUUCCUGCCUCAGCCUCCCGAGCCAGGAUUACAGUGCUCUGUUUGAAUCUUUACUACUAUUUUAAGUCAGUGGUCUUUUUGUUGGAAAAAGGAAAGACUAGCAUUUACAACUUGGAAUGGAUGUAAAUUAUAAUUUCUUGAACAGCACCGUCAUGAUUGUGCUGAGGUCCACAGCCCACUGUGCUUUUAUAACCAUUUGACAUUUCGCCUGUGAGUUCUUUGUCAUCUCAGCUGCUGUGCUGUAUGUACUUCACAGUUUGCUGGCUUGUGCUCAGGUGGUUUGGAUUGAUUCUUCAGAUAAACUAGUACUGCUAGAGAGAGAUAACAGUUGCUAACACACAUGAAAGGUGGGAGGUGAUGGUCAUUUUUAUUAUCAUGAGACAUCUUUAAGCCACUGCUAAGCCCUUCUUCAUCAGAUAAUCCUCUCAAUUAAGGUGGGUUAGGCUGGAGAAAGGGUGAAGAUAUGAUCAGAACUUCCCAUUAAAAAUUGUCAUCACAAGCAUCAGAUCUCUGAAUCUAACAUGCUCAAUUAUUUAUGUAAAUGUCCCAAACUUACUACGAAUAAGGACAAAAUGAAGAAAAUUUCCAAGGAAUUAGUGUCCUUUUCCACUUGAGAGCCCCACCUGCAGUACCUGCACUUGACUCUGUUGCUGGAAAGUUCUUUUGAGGAAUUGAUGAUUUUUAAUCCUAGAAAAGGAUUAAAAUAGAAAUAUUUAUCACUGAGCAACAUCUCCAACCUCCCCCACUUAUCCCCACCCUAACCUUUUUUUGAGACAGGGUCUUGCUAUGUUGUUUAGGGUCUACUAAAUUGCUGAAGCUAGCAUCAAACUGGCAAUCCUCCUGUCUUGGCCUCUGGAGUCAGGAGGAAUUCACAAUAUGGGAUUACAGGUAUGUACCGCCAUAUCUGGCAUAAUUGGGUUUUAUUUAAUAAUAUGACCCACAACACCCCUCACACCCUGGGCCCCCUGGUUUCUUCCUAUUUCUCCUCUCCCUGCGCUUCAGCCACUUUCAUACCUUAGCAUUUUUCUCCAAGUCAUGUUUCUUCUCAGCUCCAUGCUUUCUACAUAUUUGAAGUCUGUGACAUCAUCUGUGAAGAAUGGCCUUCCUAACACUCUCACCUGCUUAGUUGGAUUGAUUCUUGAGCCUCAGGUUUGAGCUUGCAGAGCCGACCUUGAAAAGGUCAUUACUGCAUCCCAGGACCCGUGACUGCCCACUCCAUUUAUAUUUCAUUUAUUUCCCCAUGCUCUUCAUAGCCAUGGUUACAAUUAGAUCAUUUUAAAUUCUUAGAUGUUAUCCAUUAUGAUACGGACUAAUGAAUUCACCACACUUACAUUUUAAGAUGCAUCCUUUCAUUCACCACCACAUGCCAGGAGGUGUUCCAAGGUCUAGGUAAAUGUGGAUAAAGCAGCCUCUGCCCACAGUGAGCUGUAUUCUAGUGGGGGAAAGAGAUAAUAAGCAAAUAGCUGUGGAGCACUAUGGCAGAUAGCCCUGAGCACUGAGAGGAAUUAGGAGACAGAAAGAAGACAGCUGUGUUUCCUCAGAGUGUGUCAAGAAGAGCCUCUGAAAGAGAUGACUGUGCACAGAGUGAAGGACAGAGUGGCCAUGUGGGUGCUGGGUCCUUAAGAGUGUUCUGGGCAGCAGAAACCACAGCUGUGGAGGCCUCAGGAUAGACAUGAGUUUGGUGUGUUCUGGGACCAGCAGGGAAGUCAGGGUGGCUAUGGAGAAGGGUGUGGAAGAGAGAGUCCUAAGAACUGAGAGCACAGGAGGACCGAAGUCCAAGGCCAGUAGAGGCUGAGUGGGAAAGUGGUAGGGGAUUUUCAGCCCAGGAAGUUGUGAUAUUAUGUUUUAGAAGAAUGGUUUUGGUCACUGUCUAAGGCAUAAAUGGUCUCUGGCAAAGACAGAAGCAGGGAAAAUAGUUAGAAAUUUUUAUGUUUGUGUUAGUCAGCUUUCAGUCACUGUGACCAAAAUACCUGACAAAAACAAUUUAGAAGAGGAGAGGUUUAUUGUGGCUCAUGGCUUUAGGGAUUUUUAGUCCAUGGUCAACUGACUCCAUUGCUCUGGGCCUGAGGUGAGACAGAACAUCAUGGCGGAAGAACAUGGGGAAAAAAAAAAAAACUGCUUACCUCAAGACACACCCUGAAUGACCCACUUCCUCCAGCCAUGCCCCAUCUCCCUACAUAUACCACCCAGUAAUUCAUUCAAAUUAUGAAUCCCUUAAAUGGAUUAAUUCACAUUUUAGGUUAUAGUUCUCCUAAUCUAACCGGGUCAUCUUCUGCGUUAACAUAGGAGCAUUUGGGGGACACCUCACAUCCAAACCACAACAGCUUACUCCAUGAGAAAGAGGAUGAGGGUUUGGGUCAGGGCAGUAGUAGGAGAGGAAGGAAAAGCAGAGGGAUUCUAGAUCUAUCUUGAAAGGAAAGAUGGAAAGAUUUACCGCUGAGAAAAAGAGUUGAGGGUGAUUUUAGAUUGUUAUGGUCUGAGAAGCUGGGUGAAUGGUGGCUCUACUUGUAGUGUAAAUCAGGGAGCCUGGGUCAGGGAGGAACUGGUGUCAUUUGGUCCUUAAAGAAAUGGGCAACUGGAUUCGUGGGUCCAGGUUCUGAUCCUAGCCCCUUCUAGCUGAUGCUUGAUACAGGUUUCCUCAACUGGACCAGAGAGUGGUUGUAUCUCAUAAGGUGCUUGUGAGGAUCAAAUAAGUGUGGGAAAAGGUGCACCAUAGAAUUUUAAAAAUCAGUGUUAUAGUUUGAACAUGGACCCCUAACUUCAUGUGUUGGGAACUUAAUCCCCAUGUUCCUGUGUGAAUGGUAUUUGGAGGCAACGUGAAUGGUAUUUGGGGAGGUAAUUAGUAUUAGAUGAGAAUAUGAAUGGUGUCCCCAUGACAACGUGAUUGGUUUCAGGAGAAGAACCACCCAAGCUGCCUCACCUGCCCUGUCUUGCUUUUUGGUGCCCUCCACCUGUUAAUUAUGUAGAAACAAGCCCUCAUGAAUGCCGGCAUGUUCUUGGACUUCCUGCUCUCCAAAACCAUGAACCAAAUAAACUUCUUCAUAGAUUAUCUGGUCCCAAGUAUUUUGUUACAGCAACAGAAAAUGAACUACGUCAUAUGUUAAAUUGUUAAUUGUAAUUGUUUGGUAUCUACCUACUCUGGAAGCUCCUUAAGGGUAUGUCUGUAGCGGUUUACUGAUCUGUUCCCAGCUCUAGCACAGGCAGGGCACUUAAAAGGAUCUUAUCCUUCAAAAAGUUACAACUCCUACUAUGAUUCUUAUCUACUUUGGUUUCUAAACCAGCAUAUUUAUGCAGUGGACACCCUGUCCAACCUUAUAUGGCUUUCUUGGUUGUUUUUCUCCAUUUACAAGUUUCUAUGAUGUAGACAUGGGUGUCCCCCAAAAGCUCCUGUGUUAAUGCAGAAAUAUUCAGAACUGAAGUGAUUGGAUUGUGAAAGCUGCAAUGUAAUCAGUUUCUCUUAGUUUGAAUAGACUGGGUGAUAACUGUUGGCAUGGGGGACAUGGCUGGAGGAGGUGGGUAGCUGGGAACAUUUUCUCUGUGACCCCUUCUCCUCUUCCCUCUUUCUUCUUCCUGGUUGCUAUGAAUGAAGCAGCUUUCCUCCAUCAUGCCCUUCUGCGAUGAUGUGCUGCCCAGAGCAAUGGACUCAGCUGAACAUGAACUACACCUCUGAACUGUGAACCAAGGAAAACUCUCCCUCUUCUAAGUUGUUCGUGUCAGAUGUUUUGGUCACAGCCAUGCAAAGCUGAAUGACACGCAUAUAUUCAAGAUUCACCUUGUUUCAAAGCUGAAACAGAAGCCAUGUGUCACAAGGCUACACGUUUCCGAUUGCAUUUGUGUGGUAACCUGAAGCCAGGGUUGUCGAGGUUAAUUUCCAGUUGUCCCCGUGUCCUACUUUUUAAUAAACUGUGGGGAAGAACUUUGA